AGCCGUCCAUCUCGAUGCCCCCGAAGGCCCGAACCGACUUUGGUUUCUUUUCCACCGCUAACCAGCCCUGCAUAUAUAUCGUCUUCCCCCCUUCUCCUCUCUCCCUCCCACGUCGCGGAAUUCCCCUCUCGCCUUGGAUUCCGUCGGGUUAGGUGAUGAGAUCUUCUUUUUUCACGGUGUCCACUUUGCAUCUCGCCUCUAUGCCGUCAGUGAUUGGAGUGGAUCUGUGACCAUGUACCAACAACUUCUUGGUUAAUAUUGCGCACAGCGUUGGUUAAUAUUGCGCACAGCCAUGAUCUUUGUGAUAUUGCACGGAACCAAGAUCUCUCUGGCUGGCAGCACUAUGAGUAUGCCAUCAUCUAGGAAUUCUGAUGAUGAUGAUGUUUCUUGCUUAAUGAUUUGAGGUUUGAUGUGCUAAUUUAGAUGAUGUAUGUCCAUAUCUUCCGACCAGAAGAGAAAGGUAAAUACCUCGGUAAGCUGAUGCUGAUGCACAUGUAUGUGCAUGUUGUAUCAUCUAUUCUGUUGUAUAUAGAUCUAGGGUAGGAGGGCCUUUGCCAUGUUGGGUGCGCUCGCUUGGCAGGCCGCAUGACAAUAAACAUAUAAUUUUAUUGUGUUGUCGGGGUGGAGAUCGCACGGGGAACCAUAUGAUAUGAUCAUCCUUUUGCCCCGGGUUCUCCACCUCGACCUGGUGUCCCUGUCUCCGCUGUGUUCUCUGUUCUAUCCUGGUGUUCAUGUGGUGCGUGACUAUGCGCUUUCAUGAUUCAUACCAACGAUGGCACACAGAUAACCACACACCGAAGAACAUGAAAGGUACAUAAUCGUGGAUAACUACGUAUCGAAGGUACAUAUAGUUACUGCCUUUUAGUUCAUGUGGCUAAAUUUCAGUCUUCAUCAUUAAUUGCUAAAUUUCAGUUUUUCAUUAA